AGUGAACGCUGGCGGUAGGCCUAACACAUGCAAGUCGAACGGCAGCACAGUAAGAGCUUGCUCUUACGGGUGGCGAGUGGCGGACGGGUGAGGAAUACAUCGGAAUCUACUUUUUCGUGGGGGAUAACGUAGGGAAACUUACGCUAAUACCGCAUACGACCUACGGGUGAAAGCAGGGGAUCUUCGGACCUUGCGCGAUUGAAUGAGCCGAUGUCGGAUUAGCUAGUUGGCGGGGUAAAGGCCCACCAAGGCGACGAUCCGUAGCUGGUCUGAGAGGAUGAUCAGCAACACUGGAACUGAGACACGGUCCAGACUCCUACGGGAGGCAGCAGUGGGGAAUAUUGGACAAGGGGCGCAAGCCUGAUCCAGCCAUACCGCGUGGGUGAAGAAGGCCUUCGGGUUGUAAAGCCCUUUUGUUGGGAAAGAAAAGCAGCAGGUUAAUACCCCGCUGUUCUGACGGUACCCAAAGAAUAAGCACCGGCUAACUUCGUG
rnacentral:rRNA from 1 species